rnacentral:rRNA from 1 species
ACGAACGCUGGCGGCGUGCUUAACACAUGCAAGUCGAACGGAAAGGCCCUGCUUUUGUGGGGUGCUCGAGUGGCGAACGGGUGAGUAACACGUGAGUAACCUGCCCUUGACUUUGGGAUAACUUCAGGAAACUGGGGCUAAUACCGGAUAGGAGCUCCUGCUGCAUGGUGGGGGUUGGAAAGUUUCGGCGGUUGGGGAUGGACUCGCGGCUUAUCAGCUUGUUGGUGGGGUAGUGGCUUACCAAGGCUUUGACGGGUAGCCGGCCUGAGAGGGUGACUGGCCACAUUGGGACUGAGAUACGGCCCAGACUCCUACGGGAGGCAGCAGUGGGGAAUAUUGCACAAUGGGCGGAAGCCUGAUGCAGCAACGCCGCGUGCGGGAUGACGGCCUUCGGGUUGUAAACCGCUUUCGCCUGUGACGAAGCGUGAGUGACGGUAAUGGGUAAAGAAGCACCGGCUAACUACGU